CUUAAAACAAGAUCACACAUACAAUAAAAUAUACUAAGUGCAGUUACAAAUAUGAUGACCAAGUCAAACGAGAAAGAGAGGCGAACAAUACCAAUAUUACAUUCAAACUCAUGAGUCCAAACUAUUGCUGAAAAAAUGACCAACAGACAAACAACAGUACAUAAAACACAACAUAGAAAACUAAAUAAUAAAAAGCACGAACCCUAC
rnacentral:lncRNA from 1 species